rnacentral:lncRNA from 1 species
UCAAUAAUCAAACAUAUAUUUUGAUAGACUAAUAUGAAGAAAUUAAUAGAGCUUUUAACAAGCCAAGCUCAAGAACCUACAAACUAGAGCUUUUAAUAUGUUAAGCUCAAUAAUCAAAUAGAGAUUUUAGCAGGCUAAUCUCAAAAAACAAACAACAAUUAUUAUAAUGAUAUUACACAAGAGAAACUACCCUAUUGAGUAAAAUAAAAUAUUAGCACAACAU